UGUUGUGGCGUACAGAAAAUACCGUAAAGAUUUUAGUUCGCUAUUGGCCACUAGACUGCAGCUAGAUAGCGGAGGUCCCCUUUUGGUUACUAUUGCGCAUGACACGCAUUAAGUAGUGUUUAUCUUUAUAAAGUCAAGAAUAAUUUAGGAGGAUUAUUUUAUGUAAUUUUCAGCUAUUUUAGGAUUAAAUUUUAAUAAAAAUGGUGAAGUGUUGUACUGUUUUAAAUUGUUUGAGUGGGAAAAAAAAAGAGCGAAAGAAAAAUAAUGACUCCAAUCUUCGACAGACUUCUCUAUUUAAAAUUCCACAAGAUGUCGAUAAAUUGCGCAAAUGGAGCUCAGCAUUAUGUCAAAAUUUGACACCAGACAAAUUUGUUUGCGAGUUACAUUUUUUGGACGAUGACAUGAUUAAAAAAGAUAUGCUACCAAUAUUUAAUUAAGAUACUUAUAUUUCAAAUCAAAAGAAAUAUACUUUAAAGCCGAAUGCCAUUCCGAGAGUUGAUAGAAUUCCAAAUGUCGUGGAAGCUGCUAAUUUGCAAAUAGAUUCUGAUAAUGUACUUCCGGCCGCUAGAACUCCUGAAGUUGAAACUUUUAGUAGUACUCCGGAUCUUAAUGAAUCUGAAAAUACUCAACAUGAAAAUUUAAGUCUAAGAGAAACAAAUUUUAACAGUGAUAGAUUAUUGGAAACUUUGAAAACUAAUAUGUUGCCCCAAAAAUGGAGCUGGGCUAGUGAUGUAACGGAUAAUCAAAAAAUAUUUUUGUUUUAUGCUGAUCCCAAAUCUUUAUCAUUAAAAUUUCACGUUAAGAUAGAUGAAAUAUUAAAUAUUAUGGUGACUAACUUGAAAACCAAUAAGUCGACGGCAGUAACAUUUACUCUUUUAAAUAAAGAAGAUUUUUGGGAUUUAUUAAAAGAACUAGAAAUUAUUAAUUUUUGUGAUGGCACAGAAUUCGAUAGCAACAGGUGUUCAGUAAGUUGUAAAAAUUUGGUGACAAAUGAAAAUCAACGAUAUUAUCAUGGUAUCACCCGAUGUCAACCUUGCCGAACUCUUCGGCGUCAACUCCAAAACCGUGAUAAUAAAAGUACCCAAAAUUUAAAACUGCAAUGUAAUAAGCUUAAACGUCAAUUAAUUUCCUAGAAGAGGAAGACUACGCUUACAGCGAAAGAUAAAUAAUGAACUAUCGAAAUUGAUUGAUGAUCAAAAAAUGAAAUGUGCUGCUGUUGAGGCUGAGACUCUAGAAAAGGCCAUCGCUGAUCUACCUGAAAUCCAACAAAAAACUGUUCGAGCAUGUUUCGAUGCAGCUAAAGUAAAAAAUUCCAAACAAAGGAGAUACGAUAUUGAGUGGGUAUAUGAAUGCCUAUUAAUGCAGAUAAAGGGAAAUUUUACCCCUCCCUUGUAAAGACACGCUAAAUUCCUACAUAAAAAAAUUGGAUAGCGCAUUCGGUUUUCCUAAUGUUAUUUUUAAUACACUCGGUUAUAAAGCUUCACGUAUGGAAGCACAUUCCAAAAGGGGUACACUUCUUAUUGACGAAGUAGCGUUGAGUGAAGGAGUCAAGUUAAACACGAGAACAAUGAAGCUAGAUGGAUUCGUUGAUAUGGGAGAUUAUACGCCAGGAAAAUUUUCAAAUACAAGAGCAGAUCAUGCUCUCGUAUUUAUGUAUCAGCCAUUUCAAGGUGAUUGGGUACAAGUGGUUGGAAGUUUUCUCAGCAAAAGUUCUGUUACUAGUGAAAUAUUGUCUAAACUGAUAAUAGAAUGUAUAGUAUUAAUUGAAAAAGCUGGGUUUCAUGUGGAUUGUGUUACGACCGAUGCAGCCCAAUGGAAUCGGGGUGCAUGGAAGUUAUUUGGUAUAGAAGAUAGAAAAUUUAUCUGUAAGCAUCCUUAUGAUACUGAGAGACGACUAUGGUUUGCUUCUGAUUUUUGCCACUUGCUGAAAAACUUCAGAAAUGGAAUAAUUAAACUCCCUUCUUUCUGGACUCUGGAUGGUAUUAUCAAAACGCUUCAUUGGGGAGCACUUUUGAAGCUUGAGGCAUAUCCCUCGCGGAUCUGGAAUCACUGUAAAAUCACAGUGAAAUCAUCGUGAGAUUAUAGUAAAAACAUUGUGAGACCAUGAUGAAAUUACAGUGAAAUCACCGUGAUUUUGUGUCAUUCGGUCACUGUAGUUUUAUGGUUAUCUCACAGUAAUUUAAUAGUGGUUUCACAGUGAUCUUAUUAUGUUAUUACAGUCGCUUCAUAGUUACCUCACAGUGGUAUUGCAGUGAUUUUAGUGUAGUACCACAGCCAAUUCACAGUGAAUCCACAGUG